UCUGGGUCAAAGAAAAUUACCCUUAUCUAAGAGUGAUUUCGCCAUUUCUAUGUUCAACAUUGUGGUGAAAGUGGUGUUCUAAUAAGUGUUGUCACCUUUGCCGUAGAACAAAAUGUGCCACCACCAAACUCUCAGGCCACCAUGCCCGCGGUCACCAUCAUUAACACAGACCUACAAUUCGAAGUAGAGAAAAACAACAGAAAACCCAGAAAUCAAACUCUAGCCACCAUGAAACCCUAAACUAUGUUGCCAGUAAUCAGGGCAAAAUCUCCACCAUGUGUUGCACCUCACCACCAUUAAACAAGAACCGAAUCAAAAUCCCUAACCUGCAAACCAGAAAUUUCAACCCAAAUAUGAACAAGAAAAUCGCAAUCACGACACCUAGAAACCCAAUUCACACCUACAACAAACCAUAAACAUACAUAAUCACUACCCAAAUCGUAGAAACCCUAGUUCGCAAGCAGCAUCCAUGGGCACCAACCUGCAAAUUACACAAGCCAGAAACGUAGAAACAAUGUGAAGGUGAAACUCAAUGUUUACAUUCAGGUGUUUAUAUAUAAUGUUAAAUUUAGUUUACCCUUUGGUAAAAAAAGUGCAAUGUGGUCCCCUUUUCAAUUUAAAAUUGUGUACUUUGGUCCCAAAUGGAUAUCAACGAAAAACACAUGAUAGAUAUCUGACUUAGUUUCCACCAUUAGUUUCCAACUUCAGUCCACCGUCUUUCUCCACCUCUACUCCACCAUCCAAUCCUCUCCACCAUUAGUUUCCACUUUCAGUCCAUCAUCUUUGUCCACCUCCACUCCACCAUCCACUUGCUCUCCACCAUCACUUCCCACCUCCACUCCACCCUCUAUUUCUACCUUAAACCCUAACCCCCAAAUCCAACAACAAGAAUAUCAAUAAGUAGGCUAGGGUUAGCAACACUUACCUCAUGUACGUAUGCUCUUCAAAUUUGACCUUCAAUGAAUUACUACGCCAUAAUGAUUACAAUACCAGUUUCACCAAAUUGUUAAACCCAGAAAUUGCAAUUGGAUUCUUAAAUAAGGAUAAUUUGAUUUAAUCCAUUUCGUUAAACCUAGCUGAGGUCAUUAUAUAUCUUUUAAA
rnacentral:lncRNA from 1 species